rnacentral:rRNA from 1 species
ACGGGGCGCAGCAGUAGGGAAUCUUCCACAAUGGGCGAAAGCCUGAUGGAGCAACGCCGCGUGGGUGAAGAAGGUCUUCGGAUCGUAAAACCCUGUUGUUAGAGAAGAAAGUGCGUGAGAGUAACUGUUCACAUUUCGACGGUAUCUAACCAGAAAGCCACGGCUAACUACGUGCCAGCAGCCGCGGUAAUACGUAGGUGGCAAGCGUUAUCCGGAUUUAUUGGGCGUAAAGGGAACGCAGGUGGUCUUUUAAGUCUGAUGUGAAAGCCUUCGGCUUAACCGGAGUAGUGCAUUGGAAACUGGGG